UACAUAAAGUGGUGGAGAAUCACCAGGAAGUUGAAUAAAUCUCAUAGGAGUUGGCGAAAAGAAGUUAUCCCACUUUCAAAUCAGGUGAUUCCAGUUUACCAGUUUGGGAAUAGCACAGCUUCUUCGUCGUUUCAAUCAAACCAGGAUGAAUCACUUUGUAAAAAGCUUGAUUUGGAUACAUACAGUGGUGGAGAAUCACCAGGAAGUUGAAUAAAUCUCAUAGGAGUUGGGAUGAAGAAGUUAUCCCACUUUCAAAUCAGGUGAUUCCAGUUUCCCAGUUUG